ensembl:lincRNA
GUUCCUUACUGUUGCUGUGACCUGCAAAAUAACAAAGGAAGUUACUUGAAGUCUCUCAUCCUGAGAUGUUUCCCAAUAAAGAAAUAUAGAGGAGUCAUCCUUAGAUUUUAAAAGGUUUUGCCUGCCGUUGAACUACUUGGACUUCCAAAUCAUGGGCCCAUUGCAAGAAAAAAAAAGUGAUUACAGAAAAUAAUAUGCUUGAAAGUCAAAGACAGGUAAGGUUUGGAAUCUGCCAUCCCACUAAGAAAUCUGGAGAUUCCUUCUACUACAUAUUUCUUUUCCACAGCUCAGUAACCAAGACUAAGUGACCUAUCCAUCAAUGAGAUUGUGAUACAGAACUUUAAAUCUUGAACUGGGUACUGCAAAGACAGA